rnacentral:misc_RNA from 1 species
AAGAGGACGUUGCCCUUCGGGGUAUACCUCCCACCCUUUGUUUAUUAUACCUAUUGUUGCUUUGGCGGGCCCGUCCUCGGACCAACCGGCUUCUGCUGGUCAGCGCCCGCCAGAGGACCUAAAACUCUGUUUGUUAAUAUUGUCUGAGUACUAUAUAAUAGUUA